CUCCUUGGUUAUAGGUAUUAAAACUUAAUCCAUUAACUCCACCAAGGCAUGUUACUUUCAAAAAGGAGCAAGAAUAGACUUAUUUAAAUAAUUUGGCUCAUUUUUUGUGGAAGUAGUAACCAAGGACCAGACAUUGUGGGUAGUUGCUGAGGCUCUGGACGCCAUCUUUGAUCAUGUGUUUGCAGAAGAUCAUCUGGACCUGUUGUCAUGGAGAUUAGGGUAACAAACAAACUCCAGACCAUAUGGUACCACAGCUGACAGCUAAGAUAAAUUAACAGAGGAAAAGCCUAGGAGACCACUUUACUAUCAGCGUGACAGCAAGGACAAAUCUGGUGCACUUCAUCAAAUGCAAAUCUUGACCAGUAGAUUGACUUGGACAUGUUUUUCUUCUUCAAAAUGACUUAAAACUCGGCAGUUAUGUGGAUCAGAGAAAUAAUUAGAGUGAACCACUUCAAGAUCCAUAGUUUUCUGGUGUCAAGUCAUUUUUAUUUCAGGCAACACUGAUAUUUAGCAUUAAUAUUUUUUUUAUUAUUUUUUCCACAACUUUUAUGACAGUCCCA